rnacentral:rRNA from 1 species
GGCCUACCAUGGUGGUAACGGGUAACGGGGUGUUAGGGCACGACACCGGAGAGGGAGCCUGAGAAACGGCUACCACAUCCAAGGAUGGCAGCAGGCGCGCAAAUUACCCAAUCCCGACACGGGGAGGUAGUGACAAUAAAUAACAAUACGGGGUUCUUUCGGAUCUCGUAAUUGGAAUGAGUACAAUUUAAAUCUCUUAACGAGGAACAAUUGGAGGGCAAGUCUGGUGCCAGCAGCCGCGGUAAUUCCAGCUCCAAUAGCGUAUAUUAAAGUUGUUGCAGUUAAAAAGCUCGUAGUUGAAUUUCGGGGUCAGUAGGUUGGUCGUGCCACAGGUAUGAACUGGUCUCACUGAUUCCUCCUUCCUGAUGAACCGUAAUGCCAUUAAUUUGGUGUUGCGGGGAGACUGGACUGUUACUUUGAAAAAAUUAGAGUGUUUAAAGCAGGCUAACGCUUGAAUACAUUAGCAUGGAAUAAUGAAAUAGGACGUUCGGUCUUAUUUUGUUGGUUUCUAAGAUUGACGUAAUGAUUAAUAGGGAUAGUUGGGGGCAUUAGUAUUCAAUUGUCAGAGGUGAAAUUCUUGGAUUUAUUGAGGACUAACUACUGCGAAAGCAUUUGCCAAGGAUGUUUUCAUUAAUCAAGAACGAAAGUUAGGGGAUCGAAGACGAUCAGAUACCGUCGUAGUCUUAACCAUAAACUAUGCCGACUAGGGAUCGGAUGAUGUUAAUUUUUUAAUGACUCAUUCGGCGCCUUACGGGAAACCAAAGUGUUUGGGUUC